rnacentral:rRNA from 1 species
GACGAACGCUGGCGGCGUGCUUAACACAUGCCAGUCGAACGGAAAGGCCCUGCUUUUGUGGGGUGCUCGAGUGGCGAACGGGUGAGUAACACGUGAGUAACCUGCCCUUGACUUUGGGAUAACUUCAGGAAACUGGGGCUAAUACCGGAUAGGAGCUCCUGCUGCAUGGUGGGGGUUGGAAAGUUUCGGCGGUUGGGGAUGGACUCGCGGCUUAUCAGCUUGUUGGUGGGGUAGUGGCUUACCAAGGCUUUGACGGGUAGCCGGCCUGAGAGGGUGACCGGGCACCUUGGGACUACGAUACGGCCCAGACGCCUACGGGAGGCAGCAGUGGGGAAUAUUGCACAAUGGGCGGAAGCCUGAUGCAGCAACGCCGCGUGCGGGAUGACGGCUUUCGGGUUGUAAACCGCUUUCGCCGGUGACGAAGAGUGAGUGACGGUAAUGGGUAAAGAAGCACCGGCUAACUACGUG